rnacentral:rRNA from 1 species
UACCAGCACCCCGAGUGGUCGGGACGAUUAUUGGGCCUAAAGCAUCCGUAGCCGGUUCUGCAAGUCCCCCGUUAAAUCCAGCUGCUCAACAGAUGGGCCGCGGAGGAUACUACAGAGCUAGGAGGCAGGAGAGGCAAAGCGGUACUCAGUGGGUAGGGGUAAAAUCCGUUGAUCCAUUGAAGACCACCAGUGGCGAAGGCGGCUUGCCAGAAUGCGCUCGACGGUGAGGGAUGAAAGCUGGGGGAGCAACCGG